rnacentral:rRNA from 1 species
GACGAACGCUGGCGGCGUGCCUAAUACAUGCAAGUCGAACGCAGUGGGGCCGGGUGAGUAACACGUGGGUAACCUCCCAUCAGAGGGGAUAACACUUGGAAACAGGUGCUAAACCGAUACUGAUGGAUGGACCCGCGGUGCAUUAGCUAGUUGGUGAGGUAACGGCUCACCAAGGCCACGAUGCAUAGCCGACCUGAGAGGGUGAUCGGCCAAAGUGGGACGGGAACGCGGCCCGGAAUCGUGAGUGUGGCAGAAGUAGGGAAGCUUCGGCAAUGGACGAAAGUCUUACCGAGCAACGCCGCGUGAGUGAUGAAGGUUUUCGGAUCGUAAAACUUUGUGGUUAGAGAAGCGGUAUCUAACCAGAAAGCCACGGCUAACUACGUGACAGAAGCCGCGGUAAUUC